rnacentral:tRNA from 1 species
UUUUAUAUAGUUUAAAAAAAACACAAUCUUUUCAAGAUUAAUUUAAAAAUUUAUUUUUUUAUAAAAA